rnacentral:rRNA from 1 species
AGUCAAGAAAGAAAGGGCACAAGGUGGAUGCCUUGGCACAUGAAGGCGAUAAAGGACGUAAGUGAACGAAAACUAGGGUGAGCUCACAAAAAGCACUGACCCCUAGGUCUCCGAAUGGGGCAACCCGGUUGUGGAAGACACAAUCAUUACUAAGUGAAUACAUAGCUUAGUAAGGCGAUACCCUGCGAACUGAAACAUCUAAGUAGCAGGAGGAAGAGAAAGAAACAUCGAUUUUCUAAGUAGCGGCGAGCGAAAGGAAAAGAGCCUAACUCAUUAGCGAUAUCUUAAAGUUAGUCGAAUUAUUUGAAAAGAUAAACCAAAGAAAGUGACAGUCUUGUAGACGAAAGCUUUAAGAUACGAGAGGGAAAGUAUCACCGGGCACGAGUAACCCGGUGUGAAGAUAGGGGGCCCAUCCCCUAAGGCUAAAUACUAACAUGUGACCGAUAGUGAACAAGUACCGUGAGGGAAAGGUGAAAAGAACCCCGAAAGGGGAGUGAAAUAGAACCUGAAACCUAGUGCCUACAAGCAGACAGAGCGUGUAUGAACGUGAUGUCGUACCUUUUGUAGAAUGGGCCAGCGAGUUAUUCUAUAUUGCAAGGUUAAUGAUUUAAGAUCAGAAGCCGUAGCGAAAGCGAGUCUUAAUAGGGCGAAAGUAAGAUGGAAUAGACCCGAAACCGGGUGAUCUAUCCAUGGUCAGAGUGAAGUUGAAGUAAAAUUCAAUGGAGGCUCGAACCGGGUGCGGUUUAAAACGCAUCGGAUGAACUGUGGAUAGGGGCGAAAAACCAAACGAACCCGGAGAUAGCUGGUUCUCCUCGAAAUUCAAGUCAGGGAGUCAGACUUAGGGGGAUAAGCUUCUAAGUCGAAAGGGAAACAGCCCAGACCGACAGCUAAGGUCCCAAAAUUUGAAUUAAGUGGAAAAGGAUGUGAAUCUACUAAGACAACCAGGACGUUGGCUUAGAAGCAGCCAUGCAUUUAAAGAAUGCGUAAUAGCUCACUGGUCAAGUGGGUUUGCGCCGAAAAUGAACGGGGCUAAAUUCAAUACCGAAGCUUCGGAUUAAUAGAGGGAUUAAGUUUACAAAUGAGACUAGGAAAUAUUUAACAAAAACAAUAACAGAAGAGAUUAUAUAAGAAAUGCAAAUUUCAGACGCAGACAUAAAAGAUAGGAUAUUAAAGAUAAGAUAUUCAAAAAACACAAGUCUAAAGUCAAAGUAGGUAUCAUAAGAAAUUAUGAACUAACAAUCACUGGUUAGAGUUAAAAAACUAGGACUCAUAGCUAAACUUAAUACCUCUAUUACUGGUAGAGGAGCAUUGUAUUAGAGACGAAGCCAAGGCGAAAGCAAAAGUGGAUUUAAUACAAGAGAGAAUGCUGGCAUGAGUAGCGAGAAGGGAUGUGAGAAUCAUCCCCGUCGAAACCCUAAGGUCUCCUGAGCAAGGCUCGUCCCCUCAGGGAAAGUCGGGACCUAAGCUAAGGCCGAAAGGCGUAGGCGAUGGAUAACAGGUUUAUAUUCCUGUACCGCUUGAAGUCGAUAUGAGAGAAGUGAUGACGCAAAAGGAUAAUCAAAGCCAUCUGAUGGAUGAUGGUCUAAAGCCGUAGGAAGAAAGGUAGGCAAAUCCGCCUUUCACAAAUUCUGAAAGCUGAUAGGUAUCGAAAACAUAAGUAGAGAAGUUGAUGACUCCAUGUUGCCAAGAAAAGUCACUAUCCAGACCAAAGCGCCCGUACCAAAACCGACACAGGUAGGGAGGUAGAGAAUACCAAGACGCGCGGAAGAACCUUUGUUAAGGAACUCGGCAAAAUGUCCCCG